rnacentral:tRNA from 1 species
GUUUUUGUAGUUGAGUACAACGUUGGUUUUUCAAGUCAAAGGGUUUGGUUAGAGUCCAGAUAAAAAUA